rnacentral:rRNA from 1 species
UACAGAGGUCUCAAGCGUUGUUCGGAUUCAUUGGGCGUAAAGGGUGCGUAGGCGGCGCGGUAAGUCGGGUGUGAAAUCUCGGAGCUUAACUCCGAAACUGCAUUCGAUACUGCCGUGCUUGAGGACUGGAGAGGAGACUGGAAUUUACGAUGUAGCGGUGAAAUGCGUAGAUAUUGGGAGGAACACCAGUGGCGAAGGCGGCUCACUGGACCGGUACUGACGCUGAGGCGCGAAAGCGUGGGGAGCAAACAGG